ensembl:miRNA
GUGCAAAAGUUAUUGCGGUUUUUGUCAUUGAAAGUAAUGGCAAAAACUGCAAUUACUUUUACACC